rnacentral:rRNA from 1 species
UGCUGUCUGGUGAGAGUGGCGAACGGGUGAGUAAUGCGUGACCAACCUGCCCCAUGCUUCGGAAUAGCUCCUGGAAACGGGUGGUAAUGCCGGAUGCUCCGCACCGUCGCAUGAUGGUGUGGGAAAGGGUUUACCGGCAUGGGAUGGGGUCGCGUCCUAUCAGCUUGUUGGCGGGGUGAUGGCCUGCCAAGGCUUCGACGGGUAGCCGGCCUGAGAGGGCGACCGGCCACAUUGGGACUGAGAUACGGCCCAGACUCCUACGGGAGGCAGCAGUGGGGAAUAUUGCACAAUGGGCGAAAGCCUGAUGCAGCGACGCCGCGUGCGGGAUGACGGCCUUCGGGUUGUAAACCGCUUUUGAUUGGGAGCAAGCGAGAGUGAGUGUACCUUUCGAAUAAGCACCGGCUAACUACGUGCCAGCAGCCGCGGUAAUACGUAGGGUGCAAGCGUUAUCCGGAUUUAUUGGGCGUAAAGAGCUCGUAGGCGGUUCGUCGCGUCUGGUGUGAAAGUCCAUCGCUUAACGGUGGAUCGGCGCCGGGUACGGGCGGACUGGAGUGCGGUAGGGGAGACUGGAAUUCCCGGUGUAACGGUGGAAUGUGUAGAUAUCGGGAAGAACACCGAUGGCGAAGGCAGGUCUCUGGGCCGUCACUGACGCUGAGGAGCGAAAGCGUGGGGAGCGAACAGGAUUAGAUACCCUGGUAGUCCACGCCGUAAACGGUGGAUGCUGGAUGUGGGGCCCGUUCCACGGGUUCCGUGUCGGAGCUAACGCGUUAAGCAUCCCGCCUGGGGAGUACGGCCGCAAGGCUAAAACUCAAAGAAAUUGACGGGGGCCCGCACAAGCGGCGGA